rnacentral:rRNA from 1 species
CGCGUGGGGGAGGGGCUCUUGGGUCGUAAACCUCUUUUCUCAGGGAAGAACAAAAUGACGGUACCUGAGGAAUAAGCAUCGGCUAACUCCGUGCCAGCAGCCGCGGUAAUACGGAGGAUGCAAGCGUUAUCCGGAAUGAUUGGGCGUAAAGCGUCCGCAGGUGGCUAUGUAAGUCUGCUGUUAAAGAAUCUAGCUCAACUAGAUACAAGCAGUGGAAACUACAAGGCUAGAGUACGUUCGGGGCAGAGGGAAUUCCUGGUGUAGCGGUGAAAUGCGUAGAGAUCAGGAAGAACACCGGUGGCGAAGGCGCUCUGCUAGGCCGUAACUGACACUGAGGGACGAAAGCUAGGGGAGCGAAUGGGAUUAAAUACACCUAG